rnacentral:rRNA from 1 species
UCUGGUUGAUCCUGCCUGAACUGAUGUGUUCAUUUCAAAGAUUAAGCCAUGCAUGUAUAAGUUUAAUCGUUUUAACGAGAAACCGCGAACGGCUCAUUACAAUGGCCAUGAUUUACUUGAUCUUGAUUAUCUAAAUGGAUAACUGUGGAAAAGCUAGAGCUAAUACAUGCACCAAAGCUUUGUCCUCUUGGAAAAGCGCAUUUAUUAGAACAAAACCACGCGGCUAUGGCUGCUUCUUGUUGACUCAGAAUAACUAAGCUGACCGCAUGGCCUUGUGCCGGCGGCGUGUCUUUCAAGCGUCCACUUUAUCAACUUGACGGGAGCAUAAUCGACUCCCGUGGUGGUGACGGAUAACGGAGGAUCAGGGUUCGACUCCGGAGAAGGGGCCUGAGAAAUGGCCACUACGUCUAAGGAUGGCAGCAGGCGCGCAAAUUACCCACUCUCGGCUUGAGGAGGUAGUGACGAGAAAUAACGAGAUCGUUCUCUUUGAGGCCGGUCAUCGGAAUGGGUACAAUUUAAACCCUUUAACGAGUAUCAAGCAGAGGGCAAGUCUGGUGCCAGCAGCCGCGGUAAUUCCAGCUCUGCUAAUACAUAGAAUUAUUGCUGCGGUUAAAAAGCUCGUAGUUGGAUUCGUAUCGGUACCCUGGAACCCUGCGGGUGUUUCUGGGUGUUAUCGAUUUAUCGUAAUGUUCGGUUUUGAGUCCUUAACAGGAUUCUUAACAGGCAUUGCAAGUUUACUUUGAACAAAUCAGAGUGCUUCAAACAGGCGUUUUUGCUUGAAUGAUCGUGCAUGGAAUAAUAGAAAACGAUUUCGGUUCAGUUUUAUUGGUUUUACGGACUGAGAUAAUGGUUAACAGAGACAAACGGGGGCAUUUGUAUGGCCCCGUGAGAGGUGAAAUUCUUGGACCGUGGCCAGACAAACUACAGCGAAAGCAUUUGCCAAGAAUGUCUUCAUUAAUCAAGAACGAAAGUCAGAGGUUCGAAGGCGAUCAGAUACCGCCCUAGUUCUGACCGUAAACGAUGCCAACUAGCGAUCCGCCGAUGGAAAUUAUAUUGCCUUGGUGGGGAGCUUCCCGGAAACGAAAGUCUUCCGGUUCCGGGGGAAGUAUGGUUGCAAAGCUGAAACUUAAAGGAAUUGACGGAAGGGCACCACCAGGAGUGGAGCAUGCGGCUUAAUUUGACUCAACACGGGGAAACUCACCCGGCCCGGACACUGUGAGGAUUGACAGAUUGAUAGCUUUUUCAUGAUUCAGUGGAUGGUGGUGCAUGGCCGUUCUUAGUUCGUGGAGUGAUUUGUC